rnacentral:snRNA from 1 species
AUUGGGGGCGCAACGCCCUCG